rnacentral:rRNA from 1 species
GUGCAUGGUUGUCGUCAGCUCGUGUCGUGAGAUGUUGGGUUAAGUCCCGCAACGAGCGCAACCCUUACCAUUAGUUGCUACGCAAGAGCACUCUAAUGGGACUGCCGUUGACAAAACGGAGGAAGGUGGGGAUGACGUCAAAUCAUCAUGCCCCUUAUGACCUGGGCGACACACGUACUACAAUGGCGGUCAACAGAGGGAGGCAAAGCCGCGAGGCAGAGCAAACCCCUAAAAGCCGUCUCAGUUCGGAUUGCAGGCUGCAACUCGCCUGCAUGAAGUCGGAAUUGCUAGUAAUCGCGGAUCAGCAUGCCGCGGUGAAUACGUUCCCGGGCCUUGUACACACCGCCCGUCACACCAUGAGAGCCGGUAACACCCGAAGUCAAUAGUCUAACCGCAAGGAGGACAUUGCCGAAGGUGGGAUUGGUAAUUGGGGUGAAGUCGUAACAAGGUAGCCGUAUCGGAAGGUGCGGCUGGAUCACCUC